rnacentral:misc_RNA from 1 species
AACCUAGCACACCUGCGGUGUGUACCUGCGGAGGGAUCAUUACCGAGUGUGGUCCCAUAAGGGGCGCCUCCCGUCCUUUGCAGGGCCUUUAGGGGCUUUUUGACUUUGCUUCGGCGGGCUUGCCCCGCCGGAACACCCUCAAGAAAAUCUUUAUGAACCGUUUGUCUGAGUUGCUUGCGAAUAAAACAAAACUUUCAACAACGGAUCU